AAGCCGUAGGGUACCCCCACAUUAUUAUUAUUUUUUCCUAUAUAUCUAUACCAAAAAUAAUUAUGUCAUCGAAACUUGCUUUUUACAACAUUAUUAUUAUUUUCCUGCAACAAUUAUAAUCUUCUCUGUUAAAUGUGUACACAUUAUUAUAAUUGUGUCCUACAAAUAUAAUGAUUCACUUCACAACAAUAAUCUUGCCAGUCAAUAUGUAGACACAUUAUUAUAAUUUUUCGCCUGAUGAUUAUAAUAUUGUCAGUCGAUGUUUAUCACAUUAUAAUUAUUUUGUCCUACAAUUAUAAUGAUCCAAACUUUACAAUAAUAAUCUUGCCAGUCUAGUCUAUGUGGACACAUUAUUAUAAUUUUUCGCCUCAUGAUUUUUAAAAACAUUAUUUUUAUUUCACCACAAAAUUAUAAUAAUUAUUCCUACUUUACAAUGAUAAUCUUGUUUGUCCACAAGUAUACACAUUAUUUUUAUAUUUACAAUGAUAAUCUUAUUUUUCCAUGUAUACACAUUAUUUUUAUUUUCAACAUACAAUUAUAAUCUUUUCACUUCAUAUGUGUGUACACAUUAUUUUAUUUCGCUUCAAAUUUUUUUCUUUUAUAUUUCCACUGAAACAAUUGAACAGAAUUAUUAUUUUUAUUUCCGCUCAAUAAUCUUGUUCAUCACAGCCAUCAUACAAUAAUUAUAAUCUGUGGUACUCCAACAACAAUAAUAAUCGCGACCAGAAAAAAAGAUGCAACAUUAUUAUUAUUUAGACGCUUGACAAAACCAAACGUUUGUAUGAUUCUGAUGCGCAGUACAAUUAUAAUCUUGACUUUUACAAAUUUCUGGAAAGAUUAUUAUUAUUUGGACGCUUGACAGAAUCAAACAUCCUGUGGAUGCAGAUCACCACGUGCAAUCAAACCACGUGAAGCAUAGCGUUGACAGCACCCUACUGAGCAAGGACUACUGAUAAACUGACAAAUUGCUUAUCGUAUAUGGAAAGAGAUGUUUUGUGUGGAGUGUGGGACAUGCCUAAAUGGCCUUGCCAAAUUUUGUGGCCACUGUGGGGCCCAAGUUCAAGUAGAUAAAAAUUCAGUUCCCACCUGCUCCAGUCAAGCAAUGGAAAUUGAAAGCCUCUCACCAG